GUUACUUAUCGAUACAUCUUGAAGUUAGCCUACAAGCUGUCGUUAAAAGUUCCGUCUUUCAGUAGACCUUGUGCAGCGUACUCUCAGCUCAAUACGAAAUUCUUGACUGCGUUCUCGAGUUUUGUUUAACGGUAAUGAGAAGGAGUUAGAUAAUGCACAGAGGCAAGGUUUUGUCUGGUCUUGCUGGAGUCCCAGGUGCUUUUUCCGCCGCGUACACUGUCGCAAUCGUUACACGUCUGAGGAACCAGACUGGCGGCGCAUAGGUAAAGCCGGCUGCCAGUGCAAGCCGCAGUCCCCUACAUUGUCGCUAUAAAGAGGAAAUUUGUACGUGUACUAAGUGUACGCAACGUUUCUUUGUUUAGUAUAAUUUGGCGGUGCCUCCAGCCUCCGCGUGGCGGGCGCGUUUAAGAGAAAGCUUUAGCUCGGGUGUUCCAAUCUAAAUACAUGUAAACGCAGUAUUCGUUUUUCUCGGCAACCACUGCACCAAAUUUGACGAGGUUUGUUACAUUUAAAACAAAAGCUUAGAAUCUAGAACUUCUACUGGGUACACAAAAGAUUUAAGCGAAACAACUGAAGCAAAGCGGGGCAUGGUGCUUUCAGUGCCCAAUUUUUUUAUAGAACAUGUAGUUUUCAAUUAUAAAGGGGACUGUAAUGUGAUGUCUUUAAGUAGGGGGUUGUCUUAUAUUCAGAGUCGACUUAUGUUUCAAUAUGAACGGGAAUGAAGUAUUACGCAAUUCUAUUAACGAAAUUUACCUCUGCUGUUUAGUUUCCAUAUUGUGCGUAGAAGCAACAGUGCGUGCACUUUCAGCUGCUCAGUUUAUCUUCAAUGCUGCUCUCAUUUUGUAGAGUUCAUCACUUGUGCAUGUGCAACACAUUGGCGGAGGCAAUACGAACUGCAUUUCUCACUAGCUGGACAAGUCGGAAUGGCAAUGCACCUUGGAGAACAAGACUCGAAUUGUGAAAGUCUGGUGGUUUCACAGAACUUUGUUUUAUGUCAAGAUGGGCUGACACCAUGUCACCUGAUGCUGUCACUCUCUGAAGGCACUGCAAAUACGAAAGGAACAUCAAGCGGAAAGCCAGAGAGGCCGAGAUAAUCUCGUGGCUGGCGGCAAUGGAAAAUAAACCUGCUAUGAGUAACUACUGAAGAGGAAAUAACAAUAUCGGGAAAGAAACAAUCUAUUAUAACUCAAAGAGAAGCUUAUUACUUUCUGAAAUGAGCUCGGGAUGCCUUAGAACACGCACUUAUACAGCAAAAUAUAAGAAGGAAGAAGCAUGUGCUUGCUGCGGUAAAGCUAGGGAAACAAUAGAGCAUGCUUUACUAGAAUGUGAAAUAUCUCCCCAGCAGUAGAUUUAGGCACCACUGGCCUAUAUACCAUUAAUAAAAUAUAUCCAGAGAGGGAGAUUAAGAUGGACUGCAAUGAUUGUAAUGGCAUCAUUGGAAUCAGACAUAUGCUGGCGGGGUGUCCUGCGACUCUCCCCAAACUCGUUGAAGAAUGGACACAGUGGGAGAAAAGGAUUCAAAGCCCAUUGUUUCAGGACCAACUAAGGGCAGUCCAGGGGGCCCACGAUGUCGCUGAAAGGCUUGGCCUGACAGUGCCAACAUGGGAGCGGCCCGCCUUGGCUUGAGAAGUCUAGCCUCCGGACAUCAUUACAAUAAAAGUUUUCACACACAUACACCACUGGCCUGCUUGAAGCCCUUGGGUUCAGCAAGAGCAGAGGGAAAGUAAAAAUGUAUGCAGUAAAGAUUGGUAAGCAGCGAAUGGAAGAUUGGUGGACAAAAAGUAGGGAAACGUCAAACAACAGAGGCUUGCAAAGACAAAGUUCAGAAAGUUUGGUUAUGGGAAGUCAUCGUGGGUUUUUUUUUUCUUUGUUAACAUAGGUAGAACAUUAGGCAAUACAAGAGCUUCAUGGCGCAACCCACACAUCUUUCCAAAGGGGACACUCGUAGCACCUAUCCACCUCCGCUAGGCUAGACAUACAACUAAAACAUGCAAUCACCCACCACUCCACCAUGUGGCUUAGCGGGGCAACUUGGAGCGGGGUGGACCGUAAUGACACUAAACUAAAACACUCUAGUGAAAAUCACAUCUACGCAAAUGUUCCAUGACAGAUCGGAUGACAAGUGAACACCCAGAUAUUGCGAAUACCGAGGCUACGGGCAUGUUUUAUAAUUAUGCAAUUGCAUAACACGGGUUUAGCUGUAGUCCCGAAUCUGAUAGCUUUUGUUAUAUUAAUGUUGAUUUCCGCUUGCUUACUGCCCCACUUACGGAGAUUGUCUAAGUAAGAUGGAAGGUAGCAGGUGUCCUCAGGGUUAGUAGA